AGCGAACGCUGGCGGCAGGCCUAACACAUGCAAGUCGAACGAAGUCUUCGGACUUAGUGGCGGACGGGUGAGUAACACGUGGGAACGUGCCUUUAGGUUCGGAAUAACUCAGGGAAACUUGUGCUAAUACCGAAUGUGCCCUUCGGGGGAAAGAUUUAUCGCCUUUAGAGCGGCCCGCGUCUGAUUAGCUAGUUGGUGAGGUAAAGGCUCACCAAGGCGACGAUCAGUAGCUGGUCUGAGAGGAUGAUCAGCCACAUUGGGACUGAGACACGGCCCAAACUCCUACGGGAGGCAGCAGUGGGGAAUCUUGCGCAAUGGGCGAAAGCCUGACGCAGCCAUGCCGCGUGAAUGAUGAAGGUCUUAGGAUUGUAAAAUUCUUUCACCGGGGACGAUAAUGACGGUACCCGGAGAAGAAGCCCCGGCUAACUUCGUGCCAGCAGCCGCCGCAGUAA
rnacentral:rRNA from 1 species